rnacentral:rRNA from 1 species
CCUACGGGUGGCAGCAGUGGGGGAUAUUGCACAAUGGGGGAAACCCUGAUGCAGCGACGCCGCGUGGGCGAAGAAGUAUUUCGGUAUGUAAAGCCCUAUCAGCAGGGAAGAAGAAAUGACGGUACCUGAGUAAGAAGCACCGGCUAAAUACGUGCCAGCAGCCGCGGUAAUACGUAUGGUGCAAGCGUUAUCCGGAUUUACUGGGUGUAAAGGGAGCGCAGGCGGCACGGCAAGCCUGAUGUGAAAGCCCUCGGCCCAACCGCGGGACUGCAGUGGGAACUACCGGGCUGGAGUGCCGGAGAGGUAGGCGGAAUUCCUAGUGUAGCGGUGAAAUGCGUAGAUAUUAGGAGGAACACCAGUGGCGAAGGCAGCUCACUGGACUGCAACUGACACUGAGGCUCGAAAGUGUGGGUAUCAAACAGGAUUAGAUACCCGGGUAGUC